UGUAACUGUAUAUUACGUAUGCUGGAUGCUUUAAAGCAAAUGAAUUGUGGUGAUAAAGUGUGUCUAAGUUACAGUACACGAUAAAUAUGCAAUUGCAUGAUCAUGAUAUUAUCUUCAGACAUGAGAUAACAUUUGUAGCAGCUCACUUGCUUCACAAGGUAAAGUUAAUACACCCUUUUGUUCAAAUCCAAAUUCUCUUUCUGCCGCUUCCAGCAACCUGACAAAAGGAGGAUAUGAAAGCAAGUGCAACCCCACCAGGAACUUCUUCGACUCACCAUUGCCACAAGUCACGACUGAGAAAUGACCGCUCUUGGUGCCACAACUAGUCAUCCAAGACCUUAUGUCCCUACUGAUGAGCAUGCAUUCAGCUGCAGACGUAUUUAAAAAAUGAUUGGUGAGAGAUAAAACAAUCACGAGGGCCCUAUUGGCGGGGGCUGAAAGGAACGGGGCGAGGAGGAGGAGGAGACAGCCAUGUCGAUGUGGUGCUCUCGAGAGAAUGUUCGUGGACUUCCUUCGACAUGAAGCAUUUAAGAAGUGAAGGAACACUGACUUUGAACUACAAGCCAAAAGGGUGCAUGAAUGUAGCAUGAGUGAUGUCGCAAUUGCGUUUAUGGCAAUGGCUAACUGCCAACCUGGCCCUCUUUAUGACGAGUUAUGGCAACUGUUUGCAAUCUCCUUUCCA